UACGGGGGGGGCAAGCGUUGUUCGGAAUUACUGGGCGUAAAGGGCGCGUAGGCGGCCUGCUAAGUCGGAUGUGAAAUCCCUCGGCUCAACCGAGGAACUGCAUCCGAUACUGGCGGGCUUGAAUCCGGGAGAGGGAUGUGGAAUUCCAGGUGUAGCGGUGAAAUGCGUAGAUAUCUGGAGGAACACCGGUGGCGAAGGCGGCAUCCUGGACCGGUAUUGACGCUGAGACGCGAAAGCGUGGGGAGCAAACAGG
rnacentral:rRNA from 1 species